ensembl:lncRNA
GUUUUAAGAAUAUUCCAGUUUGAUAAAUCAGUAUUGCUUUGGUGUAAUUCAGUCAACGGAAUUAUGAACCAUAAAGGAGUUUGUGUUAAAACAUGUUAAAUCCCAUUAAACAUAAGUGCAUUAUUAGUGUGACAGGAGGUUGUCUCCCUCCUGGCCGCUGUUGGACGCCGUGCCAGCCGUGCGAGUACCGUAAUUGCUGGGCGGUACCAUGCGCCCUUUAUAUUCAGGUGUGCAGCGGUGGAGCUUCCUGUCCUCCGCUCCCUGCUUGCUUCCCUGGUGGCUGUGGUUUGGCAUGACGGCGUUGGUGGACGCAGCCGUUCUCUGGUGUAUACAGCUGUUGUGAUUGCCGUCAAGGCAUGCUGUCUGAAUACCGUGGCUGAGUGCUGGGGUGAAUUCCCCGGGGUGAAGCGGGGAUCUGCUGAGCCCUGCUGGGCAUAGGAUCACAGGCUCGCUCUGGGUGGGUGUGGGUGUGUGCGCGUGUGUGUGAGCCGUAUUCUUGUGGCUCACACCCUCCAGUUGCCAGUUAACAGCCCGGCAUAAUCGGACUGCCACCAUCACUUCAAGCUGAGCUGCUGUUUUGGUUCUCUUUAAUAUUUGUUUGGUGAACUGUUUAUGUUUUUUGGAUUCUGUUGUUUGCGGCGGCUUGGAGCGGACUUCUCAGCCCAGUACGGCUGAGUGCCGUCUGCGUCCGCUCCGUGUAGAGGCUGGUUGUGUUGCUGCUGUGCCAGAACUUGUACAGCUGCAAGGGCUACUUCACUUGAUGGUGUUUUGUUUUCUUUGUUAUUUUGAAAUUAAUUCAGGUAUUUCCUUUUGGUGUCUUGGUUUGCUUUGUUGCAUUAGUUUAAUUGUGUUUUUGUUAUUUUCUUUGUGACUUUAUUUAGCCUUAUGUAUUGAUUUAAUUCAUCAUUUAUUGUUCUUUGGUUUUGUUUUCUUUUGUCCACACCAGUUAUGGUUAGUUUGGCCGCGUUUUAUUAAUCUUUGUCUCUGUCUUCUGUGUACAGGUGCUGUGGUUUACUGUGGCAGUUAUUUCCUGCUGGUGGUGUCUUCUUCACGGUCCCCCCCUUUCUUUUGGUUUUGUGUGUGUAUUAUUUGCAGUGUCACGGGUGAUUCAUUUGAGGAUUCCUCUCCCCUUUUUGGUUGUCCUGCCGCAGGGUAAGCCCCAGCCUGGGUUUUUUUUUUUUUUUUUUAUUCCUUGUUGCCCAUUCUUUCUUUUAGUUAGUAUAUGUUAACUGGUGUGUGACAUUAUUUCCUUCCUUACAAAUUGUUAAUAAACAUUGUUAAAUUUGAACACGUCUCGCCCCCCUGUGUUAAUGGAACCUGUUGAGCCUUAAUUGGUUUAGUGACAGUGAAACACACCUGAGCUAGGAUUUCCUGGGUGCAAGUCCCAGGUGGCGUUGUCAGGACCAUAA